rnacentral:piRNA from 1 species
UAGCUGAGGAAGAGGUUUCUGUGGGC